GCUCCUUUAGCUCAGUGGCAGAGUAUACGCUUUACAAAAAACAUUGCCUGCUCAUUCGGCAUCAGAUCGCGUACGGUCACAGGUUCGAUCCCUGUAGGGAGCA